rnacentral:rRNA from 1 species
ACCUGCCCAUCAGAAGGGGAUAACACUUGGAAACAGGUGCUAAUACCGUAUAACAAUCAAAACCGCAUGGUUUUGAUUUGAAAGGCGCUUUCGGGUGUCGCUGAUGGAUGGACCCGCGGUGCAUUAGCUAGUUGGUGAGGUAACGGCUCACCAAGGCCACGAUGCAUAGCCGACCUGAGAGGGUGAUCGGCCACAUUGGGACUNGAGAGCACNNGGGCCCNAAACUCCUACGGGAAGACAGAGCAAGUAGAGAAUCUUCGAGCAAUGGACGAAAGUUCUGAGCCGAGGCAACGCCGCGUGGAUGUGAAAGAAGGUUUUCGGAUCGUAAAACUCUGUGGUUAGAGAAGAACAAGGAUGAGAGUAACUGUUCAUCCCUUGACGGUAUCUAACCAGAAAAGCCACGGGCUAACUACGUGCCAGCAGCCGCGGUAAUACGUAGGUGGCAAGCGUUGUCCGGAUUUUAUUGGGGCGUAAAGCGAGCGCAGGCGGGUUUCUUAAGUCUGAUGUGAAAAGCCCCCGGCUCAACCGGGGAGGGUCAUGGGAAACUGGGAGACUUGAGUGGCAGAAGAGGAGAGUGGAAUUCCAUGUGUAGCGGUGAAAUGCGUAGAUAUAUGGAGGAACACCAGUGGCGAAGGCGGCUCUCUGGUCUGUAACUGACGCUGAGGCUCGAAAGCGUGGGGAGCAAACAGGAUUAGAUACCCUGGUAGUCCACGCCGUAAACGAUGAGUGCUAAGUGUUGGAGGGUUUCCGCCCUUCAGUGCUGCAGCUAACGCAUUAAGCACUCCGCCUGGGGAGUACGACCGCAAGGUUGAAACUCAAAGGAAUUGACGGGGGCCCGCACAAGCGGUGGAGCAUGUGGUUUAAUUCGAAGCAACGCGAAGAACCUUACCAGGUCUUGACAUCCUUUGACCACCUCUAGAGAUAGAGCUUCCUCCUUUCGGGGGCAAAGUGACAGGUGGUGCCAUGGUUGUCGUCAGCUCGUGUCGUGAGAAUGUUGGGUUAAGUCCCGCAACGAGCGCAACCCUUAUUGUUAGUUGCCAUCAUUCAGUUGGGCACUCUAGCAAGACUGCCGGUGACAAACCGGAGGAAGGUGGGGAUGACGUCAAAUCAUCAUGCCCCUUAUGACCUGGGCUACACACGUGCUACAAUGGGAAGUACAACGAGUUGCGAAGUCGCGAGGCUAAG